rnacentral:lncRNA from 1 species
AGUCUAUGUGAAUGAAGCCGAGUAAGCUGCCUCCACUCUGAGGUCUGCUCGUGUGUGUGUGUGUGUGUGUGUGUGUGUGUGUGUUUAUAACUACACAGGGCCUCUCAGCGAGCACGGAACUCACCAAGUUCAUUAUGCUAGCUGCCUGGGCCUCCUCUGCAACCCAUGUGCCGUGGAUGACUUGUUGACCAUGAUACUUCACAAAACUGCAAGAGUUCCUACCACAAGGCUGGCAUGAAUGUCGGGACCACUAGGCCUGCAGAAAGGCUUCAUGGCUAUGCAUCACAUCGGACUUUCUCAGCACAGCCAGGAAUGGCGUGGUUUCAGAGCAGAACCUGAUAUUCCUCUAGAGAAUGCAGAACGGGGUGCCUGGCAUCCCGCAUAUGGCCCUGCCUGGGAUGUAAACCAUGGCGAACUUUGAGGAUCCUCACGACUUCUGCUUUCCAGACAAAAAACCAAAGGUCUCCCUUUUAAGUCUUAGUUACUUGUCUCGUUGCUCCGACAAAAUGCCUGGCCAAAGCGACUUAAGUGGGGAGGGCUUCUUUUGGCUCCCUGUUUAAGAGGAAGUCCACCACAGUGGGAAGGCACAUGUGUGUGUGUGUGUGUGUGUGUGUGUGUGUGUGUGUGUCAGGGGGGCAGGCAGGAGCGUGAGGCGGCUGGUUGCAUUAUAUCCACAGUCUAGAAGUACAGAGAGGGGACAUUGCCGCUGGGGUGGCUUUUUCCUUCCUAAUUCAGUCAUGCAUUUAGGGUGCAUCUUCCCUCUUCAGUAAAGUGAAUGUAGGUAAUCCUUGGCCAGCAUACCAAGAGGCUUGUCUCCCAGGCAAGUCUAGAUUCUGUCAAAAUGGCAAUCAGCAGCAACCAUCGCACUGAGUUUCUCUCAAAGUAGAUAAUAGACUAACUUGACUCUGUAUAGAAUAGUUGCGGAGAGACAACUCCGAAAAACUUGCUGUACUAAUGUCACUGUCACAAGCAAAUGAAGGAGUGGCUCACGUGAUACCUGCGCAGCCAUGUGACGUGCAGAAGGAGGACCAGACCGAGACUCAGCAUCUCUAUGCUGCAGAGAUAGGACCUGGCUUUCUGUGAUUCAGACUCCCAGCUGAGAGGGGAAGACAGCAUACGCAGUCUCUCACCCCCAAAUGUCUCCCCCAGGGAAACGGAGCAAUUGAUCUAGGAAAAGACUCCACUGAGAAAAAAAGAAUGGCAAGAAAGAAGUAGGAGAACAUCCGAGACUUUGCUCUCCUGCACAUCCGCUUAACCCUAGGACGGCUGCCUUCCUGACACAUCUCAAUCCCUGCCCAAUCCCUGCCUGGAGGGAGGAGCCAGGGAAACAAUAUCUUUGCUAGGACUUGUGAGAAGGGACAUGCUUAUCUUCUUGUGGUUCUAGAUAGCCUUGUGUGGUUGAAACUGCCUAAGGAUCACAGUCGUGGGUCUGCCUCUCCACACUGCAGCUCAUGGCCACCUUCUAAGUUAGACUCUAAGAACCAGGAUUUAGACAGGGAGUCAUAUAAAACCCUGGCCCGACUAAUUCUGGAAGCUUUUCUGUCUAUUCCUGCCGUGUCAUUUAUGGGUCUGGAGAGAGCCGUAAAACCACGGAGCAGCAGCAGAUGAAUCCGGGCUAUUAGAGAAAACAAGGUGGAUUUGAGGGAUUUUUAUCCUCCUUAUCCAAAGGCUUUCUCUAAACCUAAACGCCCUAACUACCUUGAGCACUUGGAAAGAUCAUCUGUCUUCCUCCUGUGACUUUUUACUUACAAAGAAAACACGGCUCCAUGCCUUGAGCCCUUUGGGCCUUCUGCAGUUAAUGUUUUACGGUCUGAUAAUUAUGUUAUAAAAGUCUAAGCAAUUCAAACGUGCGCUUUAGAAUUAGGGUCUGAGAAGAGUGUUCAUUUCAGAAAGGCAGGGGAUGAAGUAGGCCCUGCUCCCCAUCCCUGAGCUGGAGGAUCAAGAAAAGUCUUUUGAAUAAGCCAGGGUGUCCAAACCACCCCUUGGUGUAAGCAGGGAAGCUGGGGUUGUAUCUCCAGCCAGGAUGCCAGGAUAGGGAUUGCGCAGGGAGAAUCGCUCAGUGAGUUCUGGAGGGGAGUCCAGGAGUGCAAAACAGAGGACGGGAGGGGGUCAAAGGGCUGGAGAUGCAGGGAGGAUCCGGACUCAUGGAAAACACACCCAUGAAUGUAAAGCACCAACAGGAAUGGAAGCAUCAGGGGAUAUCGGUUGGUUCGCACGGUAUGAGGCCAUGCGUGUGAUGGACUCAUGUCAGGAAACAGGACAGCAGGUUAGGCGAGCAUUCACCUGGAACCCCCUCCCUCCGGGCUACCAAGAUGGCUGUCCUGGAAGCCUGUCUCCGUGCAUCCUCCUUAGAAGGGAUCUGCUUGCAGCCUUUCCCUUAUUCCUCCUGAGUGUUUGUCCUUUGUCUCCCCACAAUGAGUGUGUUCAAUGAGCAUCCAUUACAGUUCCCCACCGUGGACGUAGCCUUUGUCCCUUAACUCAGAAAUGCGCCUGAGCUGAUCCGACUGGAACCUGCUGUCACUGAAGAGACAGCAUCUCCCCAUCCCCCUACAGUGUCCCAUCUUUAUCCAAAGACAGACAUCUGUAAAAACUACUGUUCUAAAUCAGACCACUGGCAAAAGUAGGAGUGUACGUAUCGUUGUUGGUUUAUUUUGUUUGUUUGUUUGUUUCACAAGUAUUUGCUUCCUUGCCUUAUUUCCCUCGAUCUCAUGACAUUCAUCAGUCCCUCCCUCUCAAAUACAAGACUCCAUUACACAAUCCAAGAACUUCCCUCCCUCCCUCCCUCCCUCCCUCCCUCCCAUGGAAAGAACAUCCAACGCAAGAAGUGCUUUAGUUCCCAUCUGAAAGUCUCUCUCCACAAAAGUACAGCACAUUCCCCAGGAUGGCUCUUCAGUCACACCAGCUCUCUUCUCUCCAUUUGGAUAUAUGUUCUCCAUUUCUCUCUUGACUGAGUGCUGACACAGCACCAGCAUUGCUGUAUAAACAAGUGUCCACAACUGGUCCUCCAUGGAUACGUCCAAGAAGCACUUGGACACCCCACUCUAGACAGCCGUCCCUCCAGGAGCCAUGUGGCAUCGAUGUUUAGCUUCUGUCUUUUUAAAUGACUCUCACCUGAGUGACGGACUGACUUCCAGGAAACCUGGCACCAUUUAUAAAUGACUAGCACACUGGUGUACGCCAGCACACACCCAGUCGGGAGCUGCGCUGCCCAAGGGGCUUACCAGCACAUAUCCAAUCAGGAGCUGCGCUGCCCAAGGGGCUUACCAGCACAUAUCCAAUCAGGAGCUGCGCUGCCCAAAGGGCUUACCAGCACUCAUCCAAUCAGGAGUUUCGCUGCCUGCUGGGCUUAUCAUCUGGGUUCUAUUUGCUGUCACUCGGAAACUUUCCCUUUCCACUCUCAUGUCCAUCUCUCUCUUUUUCUAUUAUUUUCAUCCACGUCUUUACUUUCUACUACUGGCCGCUCCCCGAUGCCUGUGAGCCAUAUCACUUGCAUCUUAUCCCUGUGACAAAAUAUUAUGACCCAGGUAAGGAAGAGCUCAUGUUGGCUUAGGGUUCCAGCGGGAGAGCCCAUGAUAUUGGGUUGGGGGAUUAGAUGGCGACAGGAAGCUACGUCAAGAAGCCAGGCGAUCGUGCUGUUAACCACACACACAGAGCAGAGAGAGUGAGCUGAAGUUACAAACUCUCACAGCCUGGCCCCAGUGGCCCUCCAGGGUUAGCGUGUCUGUGAUUGUCCAUCUGGCCACAGGUUCAGUCCAGACCAGACAGGCUUGUUGGAGGUGCUUUGAACUACAGUACUAUGACUCUGGCUUUCCAGGCAGAAGCCCCAUUUUCUCUUCCCACAGGAGAUAAUGCCAUAGACCUUGUGGGUGAUGACUGCUACCUCGUCCAGGGCUUCCUAAGAGAUGAGGAACGCAUUCCAUCUGGGACAGGAAGGUGAAGGCUAUGUGGAAACUGGUUCCUGUGACAGCUGUUAUUCCUGGGCUCUCUCAACCUUUGCAUUCCAGGAGCCUCCAGGACUGAUCUGGGUUUUCCCGUGAGCGAUACCAGCAGUCCAGUUCAAAAGUGUCACCAAACACGAAUCAGCAGCAGCAGUGGCAGGAUCCAGCAGAAACUGCCAGGCCUCCACCUAAACAGCAAGAGACAACGGGAUUGACCAGGACCAACUGGAAUGCCAGGAGUUCUCUGCCGUGCCUCUCUCCACGACAUGAAGAUCAGUGAAGAUGAGAGACCAAUGAAGAGUUGUACAGCUGGCUCUGCAGGGCCUGCCGGGAUCGCCAAGCUGACUUCCUUUCUUCCUGGCCCGAGGAGAAAGGGCUGAAUCCAGAUGCGAGUAUCCUCCAGGGCUUGGCGUGAUCAAGAAGCUCAACACUCAGCAGAGACCUUCCUGCACCAGUCUGGUGACACUGAAAACCAUACAUCACCUGCUCACCUAUACCCUGAACCCCACAGGAUGUCCCAAGGAUGGGAAACUAAGAAUCCAAUCCCCCAGAGUGGCUUCCAUCA